AUUGAACGCUGGCGGCAUGCCUUACACAUGCAAGUCGAACGGUAACGCGGGGCAACCUGGCGACGAGUGGCGAACGGGUGAGUAAUGCAUCGGAACGUGCCUGGUAGUGGGGGAUAACUGCUCGAAAGAGCAGCUAAUACCGCAUACGACCUGAGGGUGAAAGGGGGGGAUCGCAAGACCUCUCGCUAUCAGAGCGGCCGAUGUCGGAUUAGCGAGUUGGUGGGGUAAAGGCCCACCAAGGCAACGAUCCGUAGCUGGUCUGAGAGGACGACCAGCCACACUGGGACGGAGACACGGCCCAGACUCGUACGGGAGGCAGCAGUGGGGAAUUUUGGACAAUGGACGCAAGUCUGAUCCAGCCAUGCCGCGUGCGGGAAGAAGGCCUUCGGGUUGUAAACCGCUUUUGUCAGGGAAGAAAUCUUCUGGGUUAAUACCUCGGGAGGAUGACGGUACCUGAAGAAUAAGCACCGGCUAACCACGUGCCAGCAGCCGCCGUAA
rnacentral:rRNA from 1 species